rnacentral:rRNA from 1 species
AACAUCGCCCUUUGAAAAAAUAAUUAUAAAGGGUACUGCCUGCCCAGUGAUAAAAAUUAAACGGCCGCGGUACUUUGACCGUGCAAAGGUAGCAUAAUCAUUUGUUCUUUAAUUGAGGACUAGUAUGAAAGGCAAAACGAAAGCUUAACUGUCUCCUUUUUAAAAAAUAAAAUUAAUAUUUUUGUGAAGAAGCAAAAAUAAUAAAGUAAGACGAGAAGACCCUGUCGAGCUUAAGAAAAUUUCUAUAAUAAAAUUUUUUAAAGAUAAACAAAUUUUACUACAAAAAUAAAAUAAAAAUAUCUUUGGUUGGGGCAACCACGAAGAAAAAAAAACCUUCGUUCAAAAAAAGAAAUUUACAAAUUUAAAAAUUAUUUAAAAUUCAAAAGAUCCAGAAAAUUCUGAUCAUAGAAAAAAGUUACCGCAGGGAUAACAGCGUUAUUCUCUUUAAGAGCUCUUAUUGACAAGAGAGUUUGCGACCUCGAUGUUGGACCGGGGCACCCAAGAGGUGUAGAAGCCUCUAAAGGUAGGUCUGUUCGACCUUUAAAGCCCUACGUGAU